rnacentral:rRNA from 1 species
GAUGAACGCUGGCGGCGUGCCUAAUACAUGCAAGUCGAGCGAAUGGAUUAAGAGCUUGCUCUUAUGAAGUUAGCGGCGGACGGGUGAGUAACACGUGGGUAACCUGCCCAUAAGACUGGGAUAACUCCGGGAAACCGGGGCUAAUACCGGAUAACAUUUUGAACUGCAUGGUUCGAAAUUGAAAGGCGGCUUCGGCUGUCACUUAUGGAUGGACCCGCGUCGCAUUAGCUAGUUGGUGAGGUAACGGCUCACCAAGGCAACGAUGCGUAGCCGACCUGAGAGGGUGAUCGGCCACACUGGGACUGAGACACGGCCCAGACUCCUACGGGAGGCAGCAGUAGGGAAUCUUCCGCAAUGGACGAAAGUCUGACGGAGCAACGCCGCGUGAGUGAUGAAGGCUUUCGGGUCGUAAAACUCUGUUGUUAGGGAAGAACAAGUGCUAGUUGAAUAAGCUGGCACCUUGACGGUACCUAACCAGAAAGCCACGGCUAACUACGUGCC